rnacentral:tRNA from 1 species
UAUAUUUUAGUAUAUAAUGUACAAAAGUUUUUGAGACUUGAGGAAGUAGUUAGAGUCUAUUAAAUAUAU